GUCAAGGCUGUGUCAAUGCCCCGAGGCAAAACAACAACAUGAGUCGCUCUCGAUUCGCGUCGUCCUUUAACUCCUGCGCCGCUACAGGUAUUUGACCGCUCUAUUUAUGAGUCUCUCCAUCGUCAUAGUAUUUACCGGAUUAUUACAAAUAUAGACAAUAGCCAUCUUGAAAUCUUCACCUUGUUAAAGGCGACAUAUCCAGUGAAUUAACGGCGCCUGGACAAUUAUAUCUUCUUAAAAUUAACGGACCACCGACCUCGGCCAGGACUAUUAUGAUUCGCCUUCAUCACAGCCAUAACGAGCAUAAUAUUAACUACGACAAAAAACUAAAAUUAAUAAUUUGACUCUAACUACCGCCACUAUAAUACGACUGGCAU
rnacentral:misc_RNA from 1 species